AACGAACGCUGGCGGCAUGCCUAACACAUGCAAGUCGAACGAGACCUUCGGGUCUAGUGGCGCACGGGUGCGUAACGCGUGGGAAUCUACCCUCAGGUUCGGAAUAACUCAGAGAAAUUUGAGCUAAUACCGGAUGAUGACGUAAGUCCAAAGAUUUAUCGCCUGAGGAUGAGCCCGCGUAGGAUUAGGUAGUUGGUGAGGUAAAGGCUCACCAAGCCGACGAUCCUUAGCUGGUCUGAGAGGAUGAUCAGCCACACUGGGACUGAGACACGACCCAGACUCCUACGGGAGGCAGCAGUGGGGAAUAUUGGACAAUGGGCGAAAGCCUGAUCCAGCAAUGCCGCGUGAGUGAUGAAGGCCUUAGGGUUGUAAAGCUCUUUUACCCGGGAUGAUAAUGACAGUACCGGGAGAAUAAGCUCCGGCUAACUCCGUG
rnacentral:rRNA from 1 species